CCGGUCCCGCAGGCAGGAGGCUGCCGCUGCUGCCGCCGAGCCGGCUGCGGGAUGCGGCGCUGAGCCUGCCCCGCUGGCGUCUCUGCCCGGCCGCGCUGCGGAGCGAGCGGGCUCCUCCCUGCCCGCCUGCCGCCCGCAGCCCAUGAUGUGCCUGGAGAGCGGCGGCUCCGCGGCCGGCAGCCCGGGCUGCAGCGGGCGGCUCCGAGCCGGCGAGGAGGAGGAGGAGGAGGAGGGCGAGCGGGGCUGCUGCGGCCGGAGCGCCGAGGGCGAGGUGCAGACCCUGUCGGGCAGGAUGAACCCGCCGCCCGCGGGCAAGAGCCCCGAGCGCCCGGCCCCCCGCCACAAGCCCCCCAGCCUGGGCAGGGCCCGGGUCGCGGCCGCCGGCAUCCUCAGCGUGGGCAACGUGCUCAACUACCUGGACAGGUACACGGUGGCAGGUGUAUUACUAGACAUCCAGCAGCACUUUGGAGUUAAAGACAGUGGGGCUGGCUUGCUACAGACAGUUUUCAUCUGUAGUUUCAUGGUGGCAGCACCUAUAUUUGGUUACCUUGGUGACCGCUUCAACAGGAAGAUCAUUCUCAGCUGUGGGAUCUUCUUCUGGUCAGCUAUCACCUUUUCAAGCUCCUUCAUCACUGAGCAGUAUUUCUGGCUCUUCGUCCUUUCACGAGGUUUGGUCGGCAUCGGUGAAGCCAGUUAUUCCACCAUCGCUCCCACCAUCAUAGGAGACCUUUUCACCAAAAACACCAGAACCCUCAUGCUGUCUGUCUUCUACUUCGCAAUCCCUCUUGGCAGUGGUUUGGGAUACAUCACUGGAUCAAGCGUGAAGCAAGUAGCAGGAGACUGGCAUUGGGCAUUGCGGGUAUCUCCACUCCUAGGCAUGAUAACGGGGACACUCAUCUUGAUAUUUGUACCUGCUGCUAAAAGAGGCAACGUGGAACAGCUGGGGGGACAGCUGAAGGCUCGGACUUCAUGGCUACGAGACAUGAAGGCACUGAUCAGAAACCGCAGCUAUGUGUUCUCAUCGUUGGCCACCUCUGCCGUCUCCUUUGCCACAGGGGCACUGGGCAUGUGGAUCCCCCUCUACCUUCACAGGGCUCAAGUUGUGCAGAAAACUGUCGAGACUUGCAGUUCGGAGCCCUGCGGCACAAAGGACAGUUUGAUCUUCGGAGCAAUCACGUGCUUCACUGGUUUUCUGGGCGUGAUCACAGGGGCUGGGGCAACCAAAUGGUGCCGGUUAAAAACCCAGCGAGCUGACCCCCUGGUCUGUGCCGUCGGCAUGCUAGGGUCAGCCAUCUUCAUCUGUCUGAUCUUCGUUGCUGCCAAGAGCAGCACUGUGGGAGCCUACAUUUGCAUUUUUAUUGGAGAAACUCUUCUGUUUUCAAACUGGGCAAUCACAGCUGACAUACUAAUGUAUGUGGUUAUCCCGACACGACGCGCGACCGCUGUGGCCUUGCAGAGCUUCACUUCGCACCUGCUGGGAGAUGCUGGCAGCCCCUACCUGAUUGGAUUUAUCUCAGAUCUGAUACGACAAAGCACAAAGGAGUCCCCGCUCUGGGAGUUCCUCAGCUUGGGCUACGCACUCAUGCUCUGCCCGUUUGUCGUCGUCCUCGGAGGGAUGUUUUUCCUGGCCACGGCCCUCUUCUUUCUAAAUGACCGCACCAAAGCUGAACAACAUAAGGAAACCGAUUCAGAUCACUUCACUGUUGGCAACUACAGUAACUCAGAAGACACAUCCACAUGACACACAGUUUUUGGGGUGAAUCAACUGAUGAUGCCACCAGCCACUGUGAAAGUCUGAGACGUUGACAUUAUGGAUGAUGAAGGACAUGCUGCGUGGACUCCCGCUCUCACAACCACCACUCCAACCUCCUGCUCGGAAACCCCAGCACUGGACACAAACAAAAGUUCCAACUCCGGGAUACAUUUGGAGUCUUAUCAAGUGCUAAACCAAUCACUUCACUCUAACCAGCUGCAGGGACAGGGUCAAAGACACAAAUGAGGAUGGCCUAGAUAUCAGGGCUCCUAAGCCUAAGGAUAUUGUAGGGUUUCCCCACAUUGCUGAGUGUCAACAGUGAGUGUCCGAAGAGCCCACAACCACACUACCCCUGUGAGUGACUGUACAUUGUGUAUACAGUUUUAGGUUUAGCCAGUGAAGAAGUCUAUGUUGCAUACAGGGCAUCUUCCGUCCUAUUAAAUGCUGCCAGUUCUGUCAGCCAGAGACUAUGCUAGAUGGGGACCUUUUCUGUACAUCACAGCUUUACAAAUUGAAGGCUCAACCCAGCUUUCUUUAAUUAUUAUUUAAACAAGUCAGAGGAUGCUUUAUGCUCAUAAAAUAGAGAUUUGAUAGAGUUGUAUUUAAAAUUUGAGCAUCUCGAAAGGCUCAUGCACCUGUACUGGAUGUGAAAGCUUCCACUGUGUUGCAGCAUCUAUCCCCAGGAGGGCUCCAAGGAACAUUCAGAAAGGAUGGCACAGAUGUUCAAGCAACAGCAUCCUGCUUAAGGAAGUACUGGAGGAGCUGGCAUGGAGAUCUGUCUCUUAUUCCUGAUCAGCUGGAAGGAGGAGAAAUCUCUCCCAGCACCAGGUGUUCUUUGGGAUUGUUAAAGAUGAGCCAGGAAAAGCACGGUCAGUGAUAUCUGGUGGCUUCCAGUUUUGUUUAACAUACUUAGUUUCAGUUCCAGGUAGAAGAAGGUUUACAGAAUACCAAAAUCCAGAGAUUAAUUGCUUUAUGUGGAGUCUGGUAUUGCUGCCCCGUCUUUGUUUACAUGCAUAUAAUGUUCAUCAUUAGGCAUGUUGCAAAUACUAAUUAUUUUUUCCAUUUAUGGCACAUUUCUGAUGUUAUAAAGCUUUGUUUCUAUCCAGCAACUGCAGUUAUAGAAGGAUUUUUAGAUUCAAUGCACAUCCUGUUCCCCCUCCCCAUCAUCCUACUGUUCUGGUUUGCUCCCUCCCAGGGGAGUGACUGUAUUACUUAAGUUCACUUUGAUCUUUACAGAAAUGCAACUGGGAUUUUCUUUUUAACACACUGGUCUAAACUGA